GAUGAACGCUGGCGGCGUGCCUAAUACAUGCAAGUCGAGCGAACAGACGAGGAGCUUGCUCCUCUGACGUUAGCGGCGGACGGGUGAGUAACACGUGGAUAACCUACCUAUAAGACUGGGAUAACUUCGGGAAACCGGAGCUAAUACCGGAUAAUAUAUUGAACCGCAUGGUUCAAUAGUGAAAGACGGUUUUGCUGUCACUAAUAGAUUGAUCCGCGCCGCAUUAGCUAGUUGGUAAGGUAACGGCUUAUCAAGGCAACGAUGCGUAGCCGACCUGAGAGGGUGAUCGGCCACACUGGAACUGAGACACGGUCCAGACUCCUACGGGAGGCAGCAGUAGGGAAUCUUCCGCAAUGGGCGAAAGCCUGACGGAGCAACGCCGCGUGAGUGAUGAAGGUCUUCGGAUCGUAAAACUCUGUUAUUAGGGAAGAACAAAUGUGUAAGUAACUAUGCACGUCUUGACGGUACCUAAUCAGAAAGCCACGGCUAACUACGUG
rnacentral:rRNA from 1 species